CAAUAAGUUGAGAACUUUAAAGA
rnacentral:snRNA from 1 species